rnacentral:rRNA from 1 species
UACGGGGGGGGCAAGCGUUGUUCGGAAUUACUGGGCGUAAAGGGCUCGUAGGCGGCCAACUAAGUCGGAUGUGAAAUCCCCAGGCUUAACCUGGGAACUGCAUCUGAUACUGGAUGGCUUGAAUCCGGGAGAGGGAUGCAGAAUUCCAGGUGUAGCGGUGAAAUGCGUAGAUAUCUGGAGGAACACCGGUGGCGAAGGCGGCAUCCUGGACCAACACUGACGCUGAGUGAGCGAAAGCCAGGGGAGCAAACGGG